rnacentral:rRNA from 1 species
UACGUAGGUGGCAAGCGUUGUCCGGAUUUAUUGGGUUUAAAGGGUGCGCAGGCGGGAGAUUAAGUCGGCGGUGAAAUUUUGCAGCUCAACUGUAAAAGUGCCUUCGAAACUGGUUUCCUUGAGUGUAGAUGAAGUAGGCGGAAUUUGUGGUGUAGCGGUGAAAUGCAUAGAUAUCACGAGGAACUCCGAUUGCGCAGGCAGCUUACUAAACUACUACUGACGCUCAGGCACGAAGGCGUGGGGAUCAAACAGGAUUAGAUACCCGCGUAGU